rnacentral:rRNA from 1 species
UACGUAGGCAGCGAGCGUUGUCCGGAAUCACUGGGCGUAAAGGGCGCGUAGGCGGCCUGAUAAGUAGGGGGUGAAAUCCUGCGGCUUAACCGCAGGGCUGCCUUCUAAACUGUCAGGCUGGAGCACAGUAGAGGCAGGUGGAAUUCCCGGUGUAGCGGUGGAAUGCGUAGAGAUCGGGAAGAACAUCAGUGGCGAAGGCGGCCUGCUGGGCUGUUGCUGACGCUGAGGCGCGAC